AGUUUCUUGACAGGACUUAUUAAGAAUUGCUGAUGAGUAAAUAUACAUUCUGAGGAUUUAAGUAGCAAUGGUUGCCUGAAGUGAUCCCUGAGCCAAAAUCAUCAGACUGAGCUUCCCAGACUCUGCCACAAUGACCAGAGACCAUCCAAGACCACUUGAGACUCCGUGGGCAAGCAACCUCCGUGGGCAAGCAGCAUCCGUGGGCAAGCAACCCCCGUAGUCAAAUAUAACUCUCCAAGAACUCCAUGCCGACAGCCAAGUCUGCUGGCUGCCACAGAGUGCUUUGGUUCACGAAGAAUGCCAAACCCAGCUAAUAGCUGAGCUGCUCCUGGCAACUGCUUUCUGGGAAAUGCAGCGCCCAGCUGAGAGAUGCUGCAGAGUCAUAUAUAUUCUAAUAGGCAGUAAAGUGAAGCCGCGUAUGCUCUAAUAUGAAGUAGAGUGAAAUGUUUAUUGUUAUAGGGUCAUUAUCCUUGCUCUGAUAACCCAUUGUACGCUGUGUAUGUUUGAGCUUGAAACCAAAGUAAAGCUUUAAAAUCCUAA